UCAAAAGCUGGGAAGAGGAAUAGUAGCUGUUCAAACUUCAUACAGAAAGCUGUUGGUUGAUGCGAAACAGUUGAAUGUCAGACAGUGAACUCGCCUUGGAGCUGCCGGUUGAACCAUAGUAGAUCAGGACGGAUUCCCACCGUUACAGGGGAAAGGUAUUGGAUUCGUAUUUCUUGUACCUGUGAGAGCAUGAAUGAUUCAUGAAUAAGAGUGGUACCGCGUGAGAAUAUUCUCCCGUCUCUAAG
rnacentral:ncRNA from 1 species